ACUGGUUCACGAUAAUGUUACACAUGGGCUGUGGAAACUUGCUAGAUGUCAAGAAAGAGCAAAUCCAUUGCAUGCUAGUAUUUUUAGAGUGUGUUAUUCUUUUAUCGAUUGAAAUUAAAUCAGGCUGACCCCCUGAGCCCUCCCAUGAGCUCUUUCUGCCUUCCUACUUGUGAUACUGCUCUUGUUGCUGCAUGUGCCCUGCACCCAGCCUUGGUUUUGGGGUUGAGAAUGUCACCAUCAGUGGAGCCCAUUCUUUAAAAGAUGAAGAGAACAUUUGCUCCUUCUCCCUCGUUGGGGACUUGGAUGAGAUGAGGUGCCCUCACCUCUAUUGGCAUCCAUCCAGACACCAGCACUGACACUGGCCGUGCUCAGAAGUGCCUCAGCCCUGAAGACACAACUGACAAAUAGAAGGGGGCCACGUCCUGUCACAGCAGGUGCUCUCACUUUGUGGGUUCUUAUGUAACUGCGAGGUGUUAAUCAGGAUCGCCCGUUCCACAUUGCGUGAUGGUGCUGCGGUGUCUCCUACUUACUUGUUUCUCUCACUUUAUUCACUCAGGGAUAUAUCAUAGACGUCCUCCCACUCCAGACUCACCCGGUCCUUUCACAUAGAGUGGAGGGGUCCCCUGAUGUGCAGGUGUGG